GAUGAACGCUGGCGGCGUGCCUAAUACAUGCAAGUCGAGCGAACGGACGAGAAGCUUGCUUCUCUGAUGUUAGCGGCGGAAGGGUGAGUAACACGUGGAUAACCUACCUAUAAGACUGGGAUAACUUCGGGAAACCGUAGCUAAUACCGGAUAAUAUUUUGAACCGCAUGGUUCAAAAGUGAAAGACGGUCUUGCUGUCACUUCUAGAUGGAUCCGCGCUGCAUUAGCUAGUUGGUAAGGUAACGGCUUACCAAGGCAACGAUGCAUAGCCGACCGGAGAGGGUGAUCGGCCACACUGGAACUGAGACACGGUCCAGACUCCUACGGGAGGCAGCAGUAGGGAAUCUUCCGCAAUGGGCGAAAGCCUGACGGAGCAACGCCGCGUGAGUGAUGAAGGUCUUCGGAUCGUAAAACUCUGUUAUUAGGGAAGAACAUAUGUGUAAGUAACUGUGCACAUCUUGACGGUACCUAAUCAGAAAGCCACGGCUAACUACGUG
rnacentral:rRNA from 1 species